rnacentral:lncRNA from 1 species
UUUUUUUGAAGACAUAAAAAUGGAAUAUAUUAACAACGGCAGUGAAACACCUAAGUACAAGAUGUACUAAAAGUGCCACCCCUAAUAACAGUCAAACAUACAAAGUAGAGUCAAAGCAAAGGUCGAUCUAAACCCAGACAUAAUAAAGGGUCCGACCACCAUCUUUGGGUACCAUACAUAAAAUUGGCUUUGUUAGCUU